rnacentral:snoRNA from 1 species
GUGCAUGCAAGAAAAAGGGUCCUCAUGCUUUCUUUCUGUCUGACUGUGGCAGCCAAGAUUGAAUGCAGAGUACAGUG